AACGAACGCUGGCGGCAUGCCUAACACAUGCCAGUCGAACGAGACCUUCGGGUCUAGUGGCGCACGGGUGCGUAACGCGUGGGAACCUGCCCUUAGGUUCGGAAUAACUCCCCGAAAGGGGUGCUAAUACCGGAUAAUGUCUUCGGACCAAAGAUUUAUCGCCUUUGGAUGGGCCCGCGUUGGAUUAGCUAGUUGGUAGGGUAAAAGCCUACCAAGGCGACGAUCCAUAGCUGGUCUGAGAGGAUGAUCAGCCACACUGGGACUGAGACACGGCCCAGACUCCUACGGGAGGCAGCAGUGGGGAAUAUUGGACAAUGGGCGAAAGCCUGAUACAGCAAUGCCGCGUGAGUGAUGAAGGCCUUAGGGUUGUAAAGCUCUUUUACCCGGGAUGAUAAUGACAGUACCGGGAGAAUAAGCUCCGGCUAACUCCGUG
rnacentral:rRNA from 1 species